GCCUCCCCGCCCGCCGCCGUCGCCGCCUUGCGUCAUCGCCGCCGCCCACACCAUAGAGCGGGGCGGCGCCGGCGGCUAGAGCGGCGCUCGGGGCCGCGCCUCCAGGGCCGCGGGGAGCCGGGGCCGCGCCGCCGGGGCUUGCGUGCCCGCUGGGGCAGAGAGCGGUGGGGUGGGCAGGGGAGGGGGUCUGUCCGUCCUCAGAAGCAUUUCGGACCACAAACUCUCAGCCCACGGAGAUCAGCGCUGGAUUUUCGAGUCGGUCAUUUGUGCUCGUUUGCACGUAUAAGAAGCAAAUUAGGAGCUCGGGACGUCUCCCAACCAACCAAGAAGAAAACGCACAGAAUGCAGCUCGCGAUUCUCAUUUUCGAGUGUUUUGAAAGACGUGACGCGGCCACGCCUCCGGGCAGGAGGGUGCGGGGAGGAAGGGCCGUGCGCUGCUGUCCAGCGCCGCGCGGCCGCCGAGCCACGAGCGGAGCUGCGGGGCGCUGUGAAGUGGGCUUACCGAACUUUGCAGCGGACCUCAGACAGACAACACAGAUAGCUUGCUAAAAUCUGUCUGAUCAAAAACUAUAAGGAAGGCUGACCACGUCAAAUGUGUACACACUGAAGGGAAAAAGUUUGCUUAUGAGUGUUUUUUAUAUGAAAGAGAUAAAAACAGCAGCUCGAUAAAAGGAGCAUCAUAUACUGUGUCUGUUCUGAUUUGCAAGCAACAACGAACAUGGCAGCAUUCACACCAGAUGUAUCCUUGUGGUGCUUCAAGAAACAUGUAAUUUACUUUCAUAAAGCCACUGCAAGCCCUUGCAAUCACAGGUUCUUCCUCUUCAGCUGUCUAUUCCACAUGUUCUCCAUGUUUUAGGUCAGGCAUGACUUCCAGCUGAAAGUUUGGACCUUGCAUUCCAGGUAGCCCAGGAGAUAUGUUUACUUUCAGAGCCUCUCCUGCACAAUUUAGAAACACACCCACAGCAGUUGUGGUAGGAAGUUGUAUAACUGUGAGCAAGAGUCACCUCUGGGAAGGCCAAAAAAAGUGCUCCAAGAAGAAAAUGUACUGCAGGGAUGGGUGAUAUGUCUUUAUUGUUAUAUAUCACUACCAGCAAGAACUGAGCGCAUGACAAGCAAGUGUUACUAGCCAGAACUUCCACCUUGUACUUGUCUGUUCCAGUGUGUAUGACUCACAUGUGAUUACCCUGAAAUUCCCUCCUGGAUAGAGGAGUGGCUGGGAAGACACAAAGUCUUCUGUUUUCAGGUGGGUGGAAAGGUGCUGCUGCUAAGGUUCUAUGAUUUUGUCUUCCUGGGUCAUAUGUGCUAAUUCUCAGAGCACACAUUGAGACUUUCAGUUGCACGAGACAGGGCAUGUAAUCUAGGCAGUCUCCCUGUGCCUUAACCUUGUUUUGUCUUCCUCGUCUGUGAAUAUGAAUACCUACAUAACUGCACAAGCUGGAACCCUUCAGGGCUUCUGGAAAUGUCCAUACCUAGCAAGGAGCCUGAUUAAAACCAGUACUAGCAGCUAGCUGAAAAGGUUAAAUGAGACUGUCCAUGAAACAGCAUAUUUAGUGAUCUGUAGGACCAAAAUGAAGACUAAAAAUAAACGUGUAGAACUGGAUGUUAGGAGUCCCCUA
rnacentral:lncRNA from 1 species